rnacentral:rRNA from 1 species
UACGUAGGAGGCGAGCGUUGUCCGGAGUUACUGGGCGUAAAGGGUGCGCAGGCGGCGGUUCGCGUGGAUAGAUGAAAUCUCCUGGCUUACCUGGGAGGAUGGUAUCCAGACGGGAUCGCUUGAGGGUCGGAGAGGGGCGUGGAAUUCCGGGUGGAGCGGUGAAAUGCGUAGAUAUCGAGAGGAACACCAGUGGCGAAGGCGAGUCCCUGGACGACUCCUGACACUGAGGCACGAAAGCUAGGGGAGCAAACAGG